GUUGCAGGGAACAGAAACCCACGCUUGCCUGGUGUUGGUUCACAGCUUGGCUUGCAUCUCUCCUGUACGUGACUCUUAAAAUUGCUGCUGAAUUACAGGUUACUGUUGGAGCUGCAAUUUAUUGCAAUUUAGAAAAAGGGAAAUAACCGUAGAAGGGAAAAUAAUGCGUCCAGGAUUGUGCUAUUGUAAGCAACAACUUCCCAGCCGAGGGGGUUAAAGAGAUGUCAAGUUCAAAAGAAGCAUACUGAACUCUUCCCACUUUCGCUGUUUAACAUAAUGGUUCAGAUUCUA